GAUGAACGCUGGCGGCGUGCCUAAUACAUGCCAGUCGAGCGAACAGAUAAGGAGCUUGCUCCUUUGACGUUAGCGGCGGACGGGUGUGUAACACGUGGGUAACCUACCUAUAAGACUGGAAUAACUCCGGGAAACCGGGGCUAAUGCCGGAUAACAUUUAGAACCGCAUGGUUCUAAAGUGAAAGAUGGUUUUGCUAUCUCUUAUAGAUGGACCCGCGCCGUAUUAGCUAGUUGGUAAGGUAACGGCUUACCAAGGCAACGAUACGUAGCCGACGUGAGAGAGGGGUCGGCCACACGAGAACGGAGCCACGGACCAGACGCCUACGGGAGGCAGCAGUAGGCAAUGGGCCGCAGUGGGCGAAAGCAUGACGGAACAACGCCGCGUGAGAGAUGAAAGUGUCCGGAGCGUAAAACUCUGUUAUUAGGGAAGAACAAAUGUGGAAGUAACUGUGCACGGCGUGACGGUACCUAAUCAGAAAGCCACGGCUAACUACGUG
rnacentral:rRNA from 1 species